GCCGACAUAGCUCAGCUGGUUAGAGCGCUUGAUUGUGGAUCAAGAGGUCCCCCGUUCGAACCGGGGUGUCGGUACCA
rnacentral:tRNA from 1 species